rnacentral:rRNA from 1 species
AUGGGGGACAACCUGGACGGCUAUGCUGCCACAGGCGGCGCCUGCGAGCGAAGAACACGGUCAUCUCAGAGAACAUCACAGAUGGAUCCUACUAGAGCAUUUAAUCUCAGUGUUAGAAUGGAGACAUGCAUUUUAUCUGGUGCUGGUACAAAAGGAAAAGAACAAGGCUUCACAUUUCCAUUAGUUGUGGACAACAGUAGCACAUUUGAUCAGUUAAGGGCAACAAUUGGUGCCAAAUAUCCUUGGGGAUUAUAUGAUGAUGUGGAGAUAAGGUAUUGGGAUGCAUCCAAAGUUGCUUGGGUUCCUAUUCAGUCUGAUAGUGAGUUAGGUGUCAUGUUUGCUAACAAUGCACAAACCAUGUCAUGCAAUAUGGAAAUCAAUGUUAUUCAGAGGCCUAGAUCACAGAAAAAUUCCAAUGCCACUAGUUCAAGGCCCUCUAGUACUAAAGCAUCUGGAAAACUGACUAAAACAAGGGCAACAAGCAGCAGCUGCAAGCCACCUACAACUCCUAGUGCAAAUGUUCAGUCAGAGCAUUCUUGCAGUAAAACCCAAGCUAAACCUAGCAUAGCUGUUGAUCCUAUUGUGGAGGAAGCAGAGCCUGAUGCAGUACCUUUAUCUGAUGAAGAGGAUGAGAAACUUUACCCAGGAUAUACUGAGCACAACAUGGAGGAAGAUAAAGCAAAUGAGUCCUACAUUCCUGCUGAAUUUUCAGAUACAGAUGAAGAUGAGAAGCUAGAGGAAAAGGACAAUGCAGAAUUUGGAACUGAAGAUGAGGACAUACCUGUAAUGAUGUAUGACAGAGAAAAUCCCUCUAUUGAGGAGGGGGUAGUUUUUCCUUCUGCAGUUGAGUGUAGAAAUGCAGUUGCAACUUUCUCAAUUAAGAGUGAAACAGAGUUCAUUAUUUUGAAAAGUGACCCAACAAGGUUCACUGUCAAAUGUGCCUCUGAGAGAUGUAAGUGGAGGCUACAUGCCUCUUCAAUGAGGAGAAGCACAUUAUUUCAGAUUAAGGUCAAACCUUACCCUCACAAUUGUCCAAGUGUUAAUAGAUCUCAGAGAUUGAGGGCUGCAAAUAGAAGAUGGAUAGCAGAUGCUUAGCUGGCACUAGACAAGAUGUUUGGGAAGUACAGUGAGAGUUUCAGUCUUAUUUAUUCAUUCAAAGCUGAAGUUGAGAGAACAUCACCAGGCAGUGUAGUUGAAAUCGACAAGCACACUGUGGAGUACACAGUGAGAGGAAAGAAAAUGCCUUAUCUUGCUGUGGAUGCAACUGCACUGAAUGGUAGGUAUAGGGGUCAGCUUGUUUCUGCUUGUGCCCUUGAUGCUCACAAUUGGUUAUUCCCUGUUGCCUAUGGUGUCAUAGAAGCAGAGUCAACUAAGAGCUGGACUUGGUUUUUCCAACAACUAAAGAAACUCAUAGGGCAUCCAGAUGGUUUAGUCAUACAUACUGAUGCUUGCAAAGGAUUGGAGAUAGCUGUUGAUCAUGUAUUUGCUGGAGUAGAGCACAGGGAGUGCAUGAGGCAUUUGGCCCAGAACUUCAGCAAGAAGUUCAAAGGCAAGUUCUAUGAUGACAAUUUGUGGCCAUGCUCACUUACAUACAGCAUAAAGAAGCAUACCUACCAUCUAAAUCAGUUGCACAGCAGGCCGAAAGUUAAAGAAUAUUUAGAGGAGCACCACACAAAAAUAUGGGCUAGGGCACUCUUCAAUGAUACUUGCAAAGUGGACUAUGUGAACAACAACCUAGCUGAAGCUUUCAACUCAAGGAUCAAGAAAUACAAGGGGCUUCACAUAGUAGAUUUGUGUGACAAGAUCAGGCAGUAUAUUAUGCAGAAAUUUGAUAUCAGGAACAGGAUUGCCAUUGACCAUUUUGAAGGCCACUUGAUUGUUCCAUCUAUAAUGAAGGCAUUAAUGGCAAAAACUAAAGGUUUAGAGAUGACUUUGAUUAGGAGAAGCCCAAAAGAGGCCGAAGUUACUGCUACUGACAAAGAAAAAAGAGAAUGGAGGUACCCAGUUGACCUGGAGAACUGGACUUGUAGUUGCAGACAGUGGCAAAUAAUUGGUAAGCCAUGCAUCCAUGCUCUCUUCUUUAUCACUGCUCUAAGAGGUGAAGCUAGUGCAAUAGAUCAGUAUGUGCACAACUUUUACUCUGUUGAGAAAUUCAGAGCUACAUAUGCUGAUAACCUUCCAGCUUUGGAAGGAAAACAACAGUGGGAAAUUGUGAAUCCAGGAUUUAAACUCUAUGCUCCAGUUCAAAACAGAGCACCAGGCAGGCCUAGGAAAACUAGGAUAAGGUCUAGCAGUGAAGGAAAGGGACUUGGUCCCAGGAAGUACAAGUGUGGCAGGUGUGGAAGACUAGGCCACCAUGCAAACAAGUGCAAAAAUUCAGUUGAUGUGGCAUUUGGUGAAGAUGAACAUUGGGGAGCAGAGAAUGCAGAAGAGCCAGUAGUGAAAGAGCUAGCAGAUCCACUGGAAGUAGUUGAUGGAAUAGAUGGAGAGGAAGGAUAUCCACCAGGAGAUCCACUAGAAGUAGUUGAUGGAACAGAUGGAGAGGAAGUACAUCCACCAGCAGAUCCACUACAAGAGCCAGCUAGAGAGCCAACACCAUCAUCUACAAAUGCUAGUGUAGUCAGCCCCAGGAAGAAUUACAAGAGGGCAGCAGCUAGAGGAGCUUCUCCAGUUAAGAAGCAGACAACAACACUUCAAGUUCCUGCUGUACUAGCCCCCAACCCAGCAAAGAACACAAGAAGCAGAAGUAGGCUAGCUCCAAAUCCAGCUGAGAACACCAGGAGCAAGAAACUAAAGUUCUAG